AGGACGAACGCUGGCGGCGUGCUUAACACAUGCAAGUCGAGCGGUAAGGCCUUUCGGGGUACACGAGCGGCGAACGGGUGAGUAACACGUGGGUGAUCUGCCCUGCACUUCGGGAUAAGCCUGGGAAACUGGGUCUAAUACCGGAUAUGACCUCCUAUCGCAUGGUGGGUGGUGGAAAGAUUUAUCGGUGCAGGAUCGGGCCCGCGGCCUAUCAGCUUGUUGGGUGGGGUAAUGGCCUACCGAAGGCGACGACGGGUAGCCGACCUGAGAGGGUGACCGGCCACACUGGGACUGAGACACGGCCCAGACCUCCGUACGGGAGGCAGCAGGUGGGGAAUAUUGCACAAUGGGACGAAAGCCUGAUGCAGCGACGCCGCGGUGAGGAUGGACGGUCCGUUCGGGUUCGUAAACCUCUUUCGAGCGAGGACGAAGCCG
rnacentral:rRNA from 1 species